GAACCCGAUUUCGGAUUAAGCCUAGUUGGCGGGGGUAAGCCCACCCAAGGCGACGAUCCGUAGCUGUCUGAGAGGAUGACCCCCCCACACUGGUACUGAGACACGGACCAGACUCCUACGGGAGGCAGCAGUAAGGAAUAUUGGUCAAUGGACGCAAGUCUGAACCAGCCAUGCCGCGUGCAGGAAGACGGCCCUACGGGUUGUAAACUGCUUUUGCAGGGGAAUAAACGUUCGUAUGUAUACGAAGCUGAAUGUACUCUGAGAAUAAGGAUCGGCUAACUCCGUGCCAGCAGCCGCGGUAAUACGGAGGAUACAAGCGUUAUCCGGAUUUAUUGGGUUUAAAGGGUGCGUAGGUGGUUUAUUAAGUCAGGGGUGAAAGACGGCAGCUUAACUGUCGCAGUGCCUUUGAUACUGAUGAACUUGAAUGAACUAGAGGUAGGCGGAAUGUGACAAGUAGCGGUGAAAUGCAUAGAUAUGUCACAGAACACCAAUUGCGAAGGCAGCUUACUAUGGUUUUAUUGACACUGAGGCACGAAAGCGUGGGGAUCAAACAGGAUUAGAUACCCUGGUAGUCCACGCCCUAAACGAUGAAUACUCGAUGUUGGCGAUAUACGGUCAGCGUCUAAGCGAAAGCGUUAAGUAUUCCACCUGGGGAGUACGCCCGCAAGGGUGAAACUCAAAGGAAUUGACGGGGGCCCGCACAAGCGGAGGAGCAUGUGGUUUAAUUCGAUGAUACGCGAGGAACCUUACCCGGGCUUGAAAGUUAGUGAAUAAAGCAGAGACGCUUUAGUCCUUCGGGACACGAAACUAGGUGCUGCAUGGCUGUCGUCAGCUCGUGCCGUGAGGUGUUGGGUUAAGUCCCGCAACGAGCGCAACCCCUAUGUUUAGUUGCCAGCACGUUAAGGUGGGGACUCUAAACAGACUGCCUAUGCAAAUAGAGAGGAAGGAGGGGACGACGUCAAGUCAUCAUGGCCCUUACGUCCGGGGCUACACACGUGCUACAAUGGUCAGUACAGAGGGCAGCUACCUGGCAACAGGAUGCCAAUCUCACAAAGCUGAUCACAGUUCGGAUCGGGGUCUGCAACUCGACCCCGUGAAGUUGGAUUCGCUAGUAAUCGCGUAUCAGCAAGACGCGAUGCUUGC
rnacentral:rRNA from 1 species